UACGAAGGGGGCUAGCGUUGUUCGGAUUUACUGGGCGUAAAGCGCACGUAGGCGGAUUGUUAAGUCAGGGGUGAAAUCCCGGAGCUCAACUCCGGAACUGCCUUUGAUACUGGCAAUCUUGAGACUGGAAGAGGUUAGUGGAAUUCCCAGUGUAGAGGUGAAAUUCGUAGAUAUUGGGAAGAACACCAGUGGCGAAGGCGGCUAUCUGGACCGACAUUGACGCUGAGGCGCGAAAGCGUGGGGAGCAAACAGG
rnacentral:rRNA from 1 species